rnacentral:lncRNA from 1 species
AUGGCCUCAAAGCCUGAGAAGAGUGUGGCAUCGUCUGUCUUUAUCACCCUUGCACCCCUGUGCCACGAUUUAGCUGUGGUUGAGGAAGGGGGCAGGCGGUUUGUGAGGCCUGAUGUGGCCUCCCCUGGGAGGCUCCUGCCCCCAUGAAGGCACCCGGAGCUGGCUUAGCGGGAAAGCCCAGCCCCUGGGCACCCCCUGGCAGGGCUGCAGCCACAGUGCCAGCUGCACCUCUGCAGCUCUCCAAUGGAGGAUGCUCACCCCCUCCUCCUGUCCUGGAUGGUGAGGACGCACUUCCUGACCUGGACCUCGUCCCACCCCCUCCACUGCCCCCUCCGGUGCUCCUGUCUUCUGAAGAAGAGGCUCCUGCUCCAAUGGGGGCCUCACUCAUUGCAGACUUAGAGCGGUUGCACCUGCCCUCGCCCCCACCCCGACCACAGGCCCCAGUGGAGGGACCUUCAGUCCAGCCUGGGCCCAGUCCCCUCGGGCCUGGGGAGGAAGAGCUUCCGCCUUCCCCAGCAGAGCCUGUUGAGAGAGAGUCGUCCACAGACAUCUGUGCCUUCUGCCACAAAACCGUGUCCCCCGCAAGAGCUGGCUGUGGAGGCCAUAAAGAGGCAGUACCAUGCCCAGUGCUUCACGUGGCACACCUGCCACCGCCAGCUAGCUGGGCAGAGCUUCUACCAGGAUGGGCGACCCCUCUGCAAACCCUGCUACCAGGACACACUGGAGAAGUGCGGCAAGUGUGGCCAGGUGGUCCGGGAGCACAUCAUCAGGGCCCUGGGCCAGGCCUUCCACCCCUCCUGCUUCAUGUGUGUGACCUGUGCCCGGUGCAUCCAGGAUGAGAGCUCUGCCCUGGGCAGCCAAAACGAGAUGUACUGCCUAGACGAAUUCUACAAGAAAUUUGCUCCCGUAUGCAGCAUCUGUGAGAAUCCCAUUAUUCCUCGGGAUGGGAAAGAUGCCUUCAAAAUCAAGUGCAUGGGAAGAAACUUCCAUGUAAAUUGCUACAGGUGUGAGGACUGCAGGAUCCUCCUGUCUGUGGAGCCCAGGAACCAAGGCUGCUACCCCCUGGACAACCAUCUCUUCUGCAAGCAGUGCCACGUGAAGCAGAGUGCUGCUGGGUGCUGCUGA